rnacentral:lncRNA from 1 species
AUAAGAAUCUCAUUAUUUUGUCAUCUAAUUCUUUACUAUUUCAUACCAUUUUUUAAAAAAAUAUAUAUUUUUUUCAGUAGAAAAGACAAACAAUAGGAUAACAGAAAAAAAAAAAAAAAACACAACCAUUGAAAGGUUUUUUACAUCAAGCGAUAUUGUAAGGUCUUUCCCCCCAAAACUAUUAUAUUUUUUGCGUUAUACUAUUACCAACCAUUACCAACCUCGUAUUGGUCCCAAGAAAAAUAUAAUAGUUUUUUGUUGACA